rnacentral:lncRNA from 10 species
CUGAAGCAUUCAUUGGGUGUGGAGGAAGAAAUUGCUUCAGGCACUGAGUGAUCUGACCCAUGACCAGAAACCUGAAUCCAGCAAAGGACAAAGUUGCGCACAUUGCGUCAGAUACAAUUUCUGCCAUUUACCAGGAAGAACUAGGGGAACCAGGAGAAGGGCCACCUGCUUGGGGCGGGUGAGUCCAGGCGCCCAGAUGACUUGGGCCUUUUCUAAGAGUGACCGGAGGAAUGCUACCGUGGGACUGUGCAUUGAGUUUUGGAUGUUGCUGCCAAGGGCAGUCAGCUCAUUUGACUCUAUCUACUAUGCUGCAUUUGAGAUUUUGUCAAUGCCAUUGAAUACAAAGGUGAAAGCAAGAGCCCAUAAAUAUGGCUGCAUCAAAAAGACAUGCAUAGAAUGGUGAAAAAUUUGAGUUGCUUGAUGUUCACAUUUCUCGGCUGAGGUUGAAUGAGGCUCCAGAAACUGACCAGCAAGCCUGCAGACCAGCAGAUGGAUGGAGGAAUGACGGGGCAGAGAAAGGGAGAAGAGGAGGAACAUCUGAACGCCAAGAGGAAUAAGGCUGGGGGCAGUCCGAAAGGAUUCUGUUUGCUGGGCGGCCCGACCCCAGGGGAGGAUCAUUUUCCCACUCCAUCCCCUGCUUCUGACUCCCCAUUUAUCCUGCUGAAAGUCACCUCCACCUCCACCUCCACCACUCAAUAAAACUUCGCAUUCAUCCUUCGAGUUCGUGCGUGACCCGAUUUUUCCGGGAGGCUGGACAAAAGCCCGGGAUACGGAAAGCUGUCACGCUGGCCCUCUGCCCUUGCAAAAAGGCAGAGGGUCCAUUGAGCUGAUUAACACUAAAGCCAUCUGUGGAGAGCAAAGCUGAAAGAGCUCUGUAACACUGGGGUUGCAGGAAACCACCUCUAGACUGUACCGCCGGGCUGGAGCCCAAAGCGCUCUUCCGGCCUGUAUACCUGCUAAUCUGCACGCUCCCCGUCUUUCAAGAGGUUUGAGCAGCAGGGCUACUGAACAGGCAAGCCACACUUCUGUUGCACAUCCUGUGAGGGGAAUCAGGGACCUGUCUGGUUGCAAAGGAAUUACAGACAUGAGCCACUGUGUCUGACCCAUUUAUCUUAAAUUUAAGGGGAUAACAAUGCGGGAAGCUGGAAUCUAGAGGAACCACAGUAACUUUGAUCUCUAGCUGUGAGGAAGAACAUGCCUGCUUCCCAAGUGACCAUCCUCCCAGCACCAUGAUAUCUAUGAGAUCAAGGGCUCCAGAGAUUACAGAGACAGCUUUUGGCGAGUGUCAGUGUCCAGGUUGACUGCUGGACAUUUCCUGCCAAUGUGUUCUAGGGAG